AUGUAAUUCUUUCUCCUACAUAUCACUCGACGAAGCCCUUCUGUUCAUGCACUAAAACAUGUAUGGAGAGAUUAUGAUUUGAUCUAAUUCCGGAGAACUAUGCCACUAAAAAAUUCCUGUGAUUACUCUUCUGAUCAUUGCUUUUCUUUUUCUUUACUUGAUUGAGCUGAAGGGUUGGUUGAAUCCUCUCUUAUUCUUCUUCUGCUGGAUUCCUGUCACACAGAGAAAGCAAGGUAAAUCAAAGGCGCUGCAGAGACUUCAGAGAUUUCAGGAGAGCGACUACAUGGAUCCGAACCAGGGUCUUUGUCUUGGCGCCCUCUUCGACAUAGCGGCGACGAACGUAAGCUCUUCCCACUCUGCCAGCUGAGCCCCGCCGCCUGGAUUUUGCCGUGGCUUCAGUGAUCGAUUCUCUGGUUCUCGGCAACUCCAGGGCCUCGACACAGGAAGAAGACUCUGCAUCUUCGGGUUCUGCCGCUCCAUCGAGAUGCUCAGCGACGUCGUCCAGGACACCGUCUUGGAGCACGGCGGUGAGGUGCGUAUGAACGCAGAAGCUCUUGGAGACUCGCGCAUCCGCCUGGCUGCCGUUGCUGAUCAAACAUAGGGUUUACAAUUCCCCCCAGGUGGUCGCCGCGGAGAAGGCCAGCGAGGGGGGUCUGAACGAGAGACUGACCAUGAUCGUUG
rnacentral:lncRNA from 1 species